rnacentral:rRNA from 1 species
GACGAACGCUGGCGGCGUGCUUAAUACAUGCAAGUCGAACGGAACGAUACUGGUAGCUUGCUCUUGGGAAAGGCUAGUGGCGGACGGGUGAGUAACGCGUGGGCAAUCUGUCUCUAAGUCCGGGAUAACAGAGGGAACGUACUCCUAAGACCGAAUACUCUUAACUAGCCGAACGGUUGGUAUAGGAAAGGGAACGCGUAGGGAUGAGCGCGCGUCGCAUUAGCUAGUUGGUGGGGUAAGGGCCCACCAAGGCAACGAUGGGUACCCGGCCUGAGAGGGUGGGCGGCCACACUGAGACUGGGACGCGGUCGAGACUCCUACACGAGGCAGCAGUGGGUGAUUUUGGGCUAUCGGCGAAAGGCUGACGGAGCAACGCCGCGUGAGGGACGAAGGUCUUCGGGUCGUGAACCUUGGUCAUCGAGGGCGAUAAUGACGGUACUCGAGGAGGAAGCCCCGGCUAACUACGUG